CGGGGGCCCGCGGGCACCCGCCGAGGAAAGUCCGGACUCCGCAGGGCGGGGUGGUGGGUAACGCCCACCCGGGGUGACCCGCGGGAAAGUGCCACAGAAAGCAGACCGCCGGUGCCCGGCGCCGCGAGGCGGCAGGCACCGGUAAGGGUGAAACGGUGCGGUAAGAGCGCACCAGCGCCCGGGGUGACCCGGGCGGCUUGGUAAACCCCACCCGGAGCAAGGUCAAAAGGCGUCCGGCCGCGAGGUCGGCGCUGCGUGGGCGUUCGAGGGCGGCCCGCCCAAGUCCACGGGUAGACCGCACGAGGCCGUCGGCAACGGCGGCCCCAGAGAGAUGACCGCUGCCGGCGCGCCGCGAGGCGCCCGGCACAGAAUCCGGCUUACAGGCCGACUCGUCCC
rnacentral:RNase_P_RNA from 1 species